GAUGAACGCUGGCGGCAUGCCUAACACAUGCAAGUCGAACGACCUUUUAGGUAGUGGCGGACGGGUGCGUAACGCGUAAGUAAUUUACACUUGGGUGGGGGAUAACAAAUGGAAACGUUUGCUAAUACCCCAUGAUUCUAGUUAAUAGUGAAAGAUUUAUCGCCUAAGUAAAAGCUUGCGUCUGAUUAGCUUGUUGGUGAGGUAAUGGCUUACCAAGGCUUUGAUCAAUAGCUGUUUUGAGAAGAUGGACAGCCACACUGGGACUGAGAUACGGUACAGACUCCUACGGGAGGCAGCAGUGGGGAAUAUUUGGCAAUGGGCGAAAGCUUGACCAAGCAAUGCCGCGUGGAGGAUGAAUGCCUUCGGGUUGUAAUCUCCUUUUCUCAAUGAAGAAGAUAUGACUGUAAUUGAGGAAUAAGCAUCGGCUAACUCCGUGCCAGCCGCCGCAGUAA
rnacentral:rRNA from 1 species